rnacentral:rRNA from 1 species
AUUGAACGCUGGCGGCAGGCCUAACACAUGCGAGUCGAGCGGAUGAAGGGAGCUUGCUCCUGGAUUCAGCGGCGGACGGGUGAGUAAUGCCUAGGAAUCUGCCUGGUAUUGGGGGAUAACGUCCGGAAACGGGCGCUAAUACCGCAUACGUCCUGAGGGAGAAAGUGGGGGAUCUUCGGACCUCACGCUAUCAGAUGAGCCUAGGUCGCAUUAGCUAGUUGGUGGGGUAAAGGCCUACCAAGGCGACGAUCCGUAACUGGCCUGAGAGGAUGAUCAGUCACACUGGAACUGAGACACGGUCCAGACUCCUACGGGAGGCAGCAGUGGGGAAUCUUGGGCAAUGGGCGAAAGCCUGAUCCAGCCAUGCCGCGUGUGUGAAGAAGGUCUUCGGAUUGUAAAGCACUUUAAGUUGGGAGGAAGGGCAGUAAGUUAAUACCUUGCUGUCUUGACGUUACCAAAAGAAUAAGCACCGGCUAACUUCGUG